UGAAUUAUUCACCCUUGUCUUUUGAAAAACGUAUUUCCUUGGUGGGUUCGCCCACCACUAGGACAAAUCUAAACCUUUUGUAAUUGCAAUCAGCGUCAGUAACAAAUUAAUAAUUACAACUUUCAACAACGGAUCUCUUGGUUCUGGCAUCGAUGAAGAACGCAGCGAAAUGCGAUAAGUAGUGUGAAUUGCAGAAUUCAGUGAAUCAUCGAAUCUUUGAACGCACAUUGCGCCCUUUGGUAUUCCAAAGGGCAUGCCUGUUCGAGCGUCAUUUGUACCCUCAAGCUUUGCUUGGUGUUGGGCGUCUUGUCUCUAGCUUUGCUGGAGACUCGCCUUAAAGUAAUUGGCAGCCGGCCUACUGGUUUCGGAGCGCAGCACAAGUCGCACUCUCUAUCAGCAAAGGUCUAGCAUCCAUUAAGCCUUUUUUUCAACUUUUGACCUCGGAUCAGGUAGGGAUACCCGCUGAACUUAAGCAUAUCAAUAAGCGGAGGA
rnacentral:rRNA from 1 species